ACAAGAUCGAGCAGACAUGACAAAUGCUUCUGACUUCUUUUUAAAUCGAACCUGGAAGGUCAUCGCUGAACAAACAGAAUGCUAUGCAACUGGGGCCAUAAAUUGUGAAAGCUAACAAAAAGAAUGUCCUCUCUGAAGUUGACAAUGUAAUUUUGCAGAAGAAAUCAUGAGCAUCACUCUAAGAGACCAUUUCUCCAAAAAGAGGAAAGUCAACACUGCACCUGCUGCCUCUGUCCUGGGAAC